GUUCGCGCGUGUUGCGGUUGAAUGCAGCAGCAGCAGUCUGCAGGGAGACGACGGUGCCUGCACGCCUUGUUACUACCUCCGACGGAAUGAGCGUGAGACAGGCAGCAGACAGACCACUGGAGCCACAAGUCAAAGCGGCUCGCCUCGGGUGCAAUCGUCCAAGAAAUCACAAAGGGGGUGUGGGAGGAAAUCUCGUUACAUGAACAAAGUUUCGCUUUGUGAACAAAUCACCCGGAAUGCACCCCCGGAUCUCGGCAUAUCUCAGAAGCCAAGCAAGAUUGUGCCACGGGUGACCACCAUUGCAUUAACAAAAAAAGCAGGCGCUGUCGGGCAGCUGCGGGGCUACGGUUGUCAGCAGAAGGCACCGCAGGAGAAAACCCACAGUUGUGCUGUACUACGCGCGAAUGUCUAUGCUCCACGCCUUCGCCGACGUGUGUCGAUCAGCGCGGUGAAGUGUGGUCGAACAGCCCUCGUGACCCGCGCGGAGUGAGAAGGCCUCGUCCAGAAGUGGCUUGACCAGUGGUUCUUCUUCACAUGGGGUGCACGCUGCACGCCCUUGGGGUGCGAGAUGCCCUUUCUGGCGGCGCGAGACGUGGCCAGAUCUUUUUCGAAGGUAAAUCAUCGAAAACACAAAUUAAGCACGGGGCACGUGAGUUACAACUUCUUUGUCUCAUCAAACCCCCGAUGUAUUUAUUAACUUUGUACAUUUAAUGUUCACGAUUAAGAACCAAAGGGGCACGAGGUGAAGAAACACUGGGGGCUUGACAAAGGGGGCCGUGCACAUACGCAGUUUGGAGAGAAAGAAAGUGAGAAAUUCACCCUAAAUCAAGUUUAGAAGGAAUUAAAAAAAAUACUAUUUCGCAAAGCCGUAAUGUAAAGACUUGCUCCAGUCUGUGAACAAUUAGUUAACAAUUACCUUAAUCAUAUUGAGCAAUACACGCAAAGCACACGGUGAUUUUUGAUGGGGUUAAUUGCCACCUGUUGAGGCUCUUAAAUAACCUUAAAGCACCACACACUGAUUUACCGUCCACCAUUAAUGGAACCAUGUGUUUGUGAGCGGAGGGUGGGUGAGUGUACAUUUGGAAGUGAAUCAUGUUUUGCAUGAAUAUUUCAGUACCCACAGCAUUAGGCUUCAACUAUACGCGCUAAGCAUGUUUAUACAAGGCACUGAAAGCCUGUGACCACAUGUUAGAACAGAACAGUGCACUUGGAUUUGAUGCACGAAUGCCAAUAACUUGCCCACAAAUCUAUCAUUUCCAUACAAGAAUGUAUUGUGGAUUUUCAAAUGCAGCGCGUGCAAAAGUCAUGGGGAGCAUCAGCCGAGGGGGAAAAGGCACUGACGUUAAAAUGCUACGGGAUGGGGGUGUGCUAAUAAUAUUGGAACAUUUAUAUUGUUUUUUUUUUAUACAAUACAAACUGCUAUUUCAACGUUGCAUGGCACAUUUAUUUUGUGGAGGGCAUUGUGUGGGUUUUCAUAAAUAAUGUCAUUAAAUUGUGUUUGAGUGCUUUGUUGAUGACAUUGCUAUUGUUUUUAUUAUUAUAUUGUUAUUAUUAUUAUAUAACCUCCAUGCUAUAACAUCCAGAAUGUUUGAAGCAUGAUUCAGAACGUAAAUAAUAUCACCGGAUGCACACUGACAAAAUUAUGAAUAAUUAAUAUGUAUUUUUUUAAAGUCAGAAUACGUAUCGCUUUUCCAUUUGUUGACAAAAAUGGUAAAGGUACAGCCCUGCAAUCACCUCCUCACAUGACUGCUCACAGAGGAUCCUACGCUACAGUGGGUUAUGGAGCCCCAAGAGACGGCUAUUUGGCCUUCUCUUGCACACUUGAUGUACGUAUGUUUUUUGUACGUUGAACUUCUUUUGCGCUGUACAUAGCCAACCGCUCUAAUCGGAGGUGUGGAGGGAGGGGGGGGG